GACAUUGUGGCGUAGUGGUUUCAGCACUGGACUAUGACUCUGGAGACCAGAGUUCAAAUUCCUGCUCGGCCA